CUUUCUCUUUCUUACACUUUCACACUCUUUUCUAUUCUCCUCUCUCCUUUAAAUAUUCUUCUUUUCAUUGCAAGCGGUGGAAAUAGCAUCGUCUUCUUCUCUUUACCUUAGCAUAUAGGAAUAUCAUUCUUUAUUUUCUCUACCCUUCUUUUCUUAUAUACUUCGAUCCUCCUUCAACCUUUUACAUAAAUUGAUGUUGUUUAAAAUGGACAAGGGUGCAAGCUCCAAUGUCAAAUGAAAAAGUCAUUUUUAAUUAGACGGAAAAGGUUUACAUUUAUGUCGAAUGAGUGUUUUUUAAAAAACGGUUGGUACAGUGAAUAUAAUGAACCUCAACAUUAUUUAUUUAUAUUCAUUUUUAUGAUUGAUACUGUAACAGUUUUCAAUUCUUAUCACUAUGACACAAACUAUGCCUUCUGUUUCAUUGACCCAAGAUACUAGAAUUUCUCAUAAAUCGGCAUCUCUUUUCAUAACAUAUCAAACACUAUAAAUUAUAAAGAAAGCAAAGAUCUUUUAUCACAAUUCAUGAUUGGGUAGAGAUGCAGAGAAGAUUGGGAGAUAGCACAAGGAAUGCAACUGAAGUUGGAAAAACACUAAGUAGAGACAGAAAAUUGGCUUUGCAACAAGAUGUGGAAAGGUUGAAGAAGAAGCUUAGGCACGAAGAGAAUAUUCACAGGGCAUUGAAAAGAGCUUUCAAUAGGCCUUUGGGUUCACUUCCUCGUCUUCCUUCUUAUCUCCCUCUCAAUACACUGGGACUUGUGGCUGAGGUGGCAGUAUUGGAGGAAGAAAUUGUAAGGCUUGAAGAACAAGUGAUGCAUUUCAGGCACAAUUUGUACCAGGAAACUAUCUACAUCUCAUCCUCGAAGAUGAAACUCGAUAACGCAAGCCCGUCUAAUAGUCGAAAACAUGGUAAAUUGAAGUCACUUUCACAAACAAUAGGUAAUGCUGCAACAUCUGCAACUAAGACUACAACAACACUUUCAGGUUAGUAACUGGAUAGUGUCAUUAAUUGAGGUUAAGGUGUUUCACAAUUGAGCUAGCAUUUCGCGAAAAUAACCGAAUUAUCGCAUACUUAUAGAGCAGAGUAAAUACAUGCUCUAACAUUAACUUUAUGUGAUCUAGGCUAGAUUCUAGAAUGUAAUACUUAAUGUGGUUUAUACCUUGUGAUUGUUCUACCAGUGGAUAGACAAGGAAAAGAGAAUGAAUCAUGUUCUAAUCCAUCUAAGAGAAGCAAGCAAUCAACUUGUACAGGGCAAGCAACAAAGAAUCCUACUAAGAAGUUAUCCAUUGAUAAUAAAUCAUUGCAGAAAAGUUGUGAUUUUCCGAAAAGGCAGCAAGAACUACGGCCAAGUAACCUGCCGAUUGCAGAAGUUAGAAAUCAUAGUCCACAUGAAAAACCAUUAGGAUAUGAAAGCCCGAAUAUAAUCUCGGAAAAUAUUCUGAAGUGUUUAUCAAGCAUUCUGUUGAGAAUGAGUGGAGCCAAAAGUCCUGGUUCUGCAGUUGAUAUAUCGGUAUCACCCUCGUGGGAUCAAAAACCUCGAAACUGUAUUGAAGGAAGAGAGUUUUGGGAUCCUUAUGGUAUCUGUUUGGAAUCUGGAAAGAGGGAUAUUGGUCAAUACACUCAAUUACGUGCGGUUGAAGCUAAAUCUUUCAAUCCAAAACGAACUGCAAAUUCUUUGUUUUUGCUGCAUCGAUUGAAAAUUCUUUUGAGAAAACUAGCUGGUGUCAACUUAGAGAAUCUCAACCAUCAAGAGAAGCUAGCAUUCUGGAUCAACAUAUACAACUCUUGUAUAAUGAAUGCAUUCAUAGAAAAUGGCAUACCAGAGAGUCCUGACAUGGUUGUUUCUCUGAUGCACAAGGUAUGGUCUAACUACUAUCGAGUGAGAUAAAGACUUAAUUGUUAUUGUUGCGAGCAAAAUCAUACUAUUGCACUCAAGAGUUUUUCCGGUUUUUUGUUACUCAGGCAACGAUAAAUGUGGGCGGACACUUGCUAAGUGCACCAACCAUAGAACAUUGCAUUUUAAGACUUCCUUAUAGCUGGAAAUUGGUAAGUUUUAUGCACUAUCUCUGAAUUGGAAUAUGUAGGCAAUUUAAAACCAAAUUGAUAAGCUUCUUGCAGCUAAAUUCAAAACAGACAUUAUCAAAGGAAGUCAAAAAUUAUGAAAUGACAUUAAGAAGCUUAUAUGGGCUAGAAUUAUCAAAAGCUCUAGUGAUAUUUGCUCUCUCUUGUGGAACAUGGUCCUCUCCU
rnacentral:lncRNA from 1 species